rnacentral:rRNA from 1 species
GACGAACGCUGGCGGCGUGCCUAAUACAUGCAAGUAGAACGCUGAAGGAGGAGCUUGCUUCUCCGGAUGAGUUGCGAACGGGUGAGUAACGCGUAGGUAGCCUGCCUGGUAGCGGGGGAUAACUAUUGGAAACGAUAGCUAAUACCGCAUAAGAGUAGAUGUUGCAUGACAUUUGCUUAAAAGGUGCAAUUGCAUCACUACCAGAUGGACCUGCGUUGUAUUAGCUAGUUGGUGAGGUAACGGCUCACCAAGGCGACGAUACAUAGCCGACCUGAGAGGGUGAUCGGCCACACUGGGACUGAGACACGGCCCAGACUCCUACGGGAGGCAGCAGUAGGGAAUCUUCGGCAAUGGACGGAAGUCUGACCGAGCAACGCCGCGUGAGUGAAGAAGGGUGUCGGAUCGUAAAGCUCUGUUGUAAGAGAAGAACGAGUGUGAGAGUGGAAAGUUCACACUGUGACGGUAGCUUACCAGAAAGGGACGGCUAACUACGUG